UCUGGUUGAUUCUGCCAGUAGUCAUACGCUUGUCUCAAAGAUUAAGCCAUGCAUGUCUAAGUAUAAACAAAUCUAUACGUGAAACUGCGAAUGGCUCAUUAUAUCAGUUAUAGUUUAUUUGAUGGUCCUUACUACUUGGAUAACCGUAGUAAUUCUAGAGCUAAUACAUGCAUCAAACCCCGACUCACGAAGGGGUGUAUUUAUUAGAUGGAAACCAAUGCGGGUUCGCCCGGAUUUAGGUGAUUCAUAAUAACUUUCCGAUCGGCUUGCCGAUGCAUCAUUCAAGUUUCUGCCCUAUCAGGUCUGGAUGGUAGGGUAUUGGCCUACCAUGCCUUUAACGGGUAACGGAGAAUUAGGGUUCGAUUCCGGAGAGGGGGCCUGAGAAAUGGCCACCACAUCCAAGGAAGGCAGCAGGCGCGUAAAUUACCCAAUCCUGACACAGGGAGGUAGUGACAAUAAAUAACAUCGCAGGGCCUUUUCAGGUCUUGCGUUAGGAAUGAGAACAAUUUAAACCCCUUAUCGAGGAUCAAUUGGAGGGCAAGUCUGGUGCCAGCAGCCGCGGUAAUUCCAGCUCCAAUAGCGUAUAUUAAAGUUGUUGCAGUUAAAAAGCUCGUAGUUGGAUUUCUGGUAGAAGGUUAGAGCGCACCUGCGUGAUGCUCGCGUCUUCUGCCAUCCUUCUGUUAACCUAGCAUGGCCUUGAUUGGUCGGCUAGGGGCUCAGAUAUUUUACCUUGAGAAAAUUAGAGUGUUUCAGGCAGGCUUGUGCCCGGAUACAUUAGCAUGGAAUAAUAGAAUAGGACUUUUGCCUCUUCUGUUGGUCUGAGGGGUUGAAGUAAUGAUUAAUAGGGAUAGUUGGGGGCAUUAGUACUUAACUGUCAGAGGUGAAAUUCUCGGAUUUGUUAAAGACUAACUUAUGCGAAAGCAUUUGCCAAGGAUGUUUUCAUUAAUCAAGAACGAAAGUUAGGGGAUCGAAGACGAUCAGAUACCGUCCUAGUCUUAACCAUAAACUAUGCCGA
rnacentral:rRNA from 1 species